AUUUACAGCUGGAAGGGCAGACGGAGGCCUCCUGGCGUAUACACAGCCCUGCUGGGCCACAUCCCGGGUCUCCUCCCUCCGCGAUGCCACAGCAGGGGCGCCUUCCGAAAGCCCUCUGGAUUGAGGCAGCAGGAUCUAUGGUGGAAACUGCCCCGGCGUCGCCAAGGCCCCUAGGACCCCAGCACACUGUCAGGGGAGCAUCCUUGUGUCGUUUCUGCCCAGAGAGGAGCAGAAGCCAGGCUGCUGCGCUGGGAGAUGAGACUUCCUGGCAUACCUGCACUUCCAGAUGAGACUUCCAGGUGCACCUGUACUUCCACAUGAGACUUCCCGGUGCACUUGCACUUCCUGGUGCAGACUUCUUGGUUCAUCUGCACUUCCUGGUGAGAAUCCCUCACGCAUCUGCACUUCCUGAUGCACCUGCACUUCUAGUUAUUUUAGAGAAAACACUCCCCAAACAUGCCACAUGCAGAGGAUGCUGGGUAUCAGGCUACCUUUGCUGGACAGCUCCAGGUAACUGCAUUUGCUCUGCCAAUGUUGGCUUAAAAAAUAGAAAACACAGACAGACAAAUCCAUCACACACACGCACAGACACACACACACAGAGUCAAUGAUGUUGGCUCACAAGUAGAGCUCUUCAUCUGUUUAUAUUUAAUGCAAUUACUGAUACAUCUAAGUUUGGAGCUGCUGUUUUCUUUUAUGCAUACGAUUUGUUUGCAGAUUCUGUGUAUAACUUCUUUCCUUUCUUGCCUUUUUUUAGAUGAUUUUCCCCAGCUUACCUUGAGGAUUUUCGAGCAAACAGACACGUUGAAAGAAUAGACAAGGACCACUUGCAUGCCCUCAGUUAGAGUCACCAACUGUCAAUAUUUUGCACUGUAUGUAUACAUGUACAUGUCUGUGUAUACACAUAUACACAUACAGUCAUGCAUCGACCGAUGGCAGGGAUGGUUCUGAGGAAGGCGCUGUUAGGUGAUUUUGUCUAUGCGAGCAUCAUAGUGUGAACUUACUCAAACCCAGAUGGCACAGACUUAUCGCCUCCCACACGCCUGGGCUGUAUGGCAGGACCUCCUGCUCCCAGGCUACAAACCCAGGCAGGGUGGUACUGUACUGAACGCUGCAGGUGAUUGUAACACAAUGGUAAGUAUUUGUGCAUCUAAACAUACGUAAACAUAGAAACAGUGUAGUAAAAAUAUGGUAUAAAAGAUAAAAUACGGUACACCUGUACAAGGUCUGCUCUGUUCUAAUCUUAUGGGGCCACCAUUGUACAUGCGGUCCAUUCUUGACAGACGUGCUGUUAUGUGGCACAUGACUGUGCAUGGAAAUACACACACACACACACAUCCACACAUAAGCAUACGCAUACAUACACACAUACAUGUAUAUACACGUGCAUAUAACAUAUGUAGCUAUCUGCCAAUUGCCAUCCAACGUGAAUUCCAUAAAUUU
rnacentral:lncRNA from 1 species